rnacentral:lncRNA from 1 species
GCCAGGGACUCAAGAGUGCAAGCCGCCCAACCUUGAGCACUAGCCCAGGCCGCGGAAGGACGGCGGCCGAGCUGGCAGUCCCGGCUGGGGAGCUCGCCCUCGGGGUCCGUCCGCUCCGCCCGCCCGAGGACUGGGUGCCUGCCAGCCCCACGGCCCCUCGCCCAGCGCCCGGCUCACAGGCAGAAGCGGUGUCCGGCCCGCCGCGCCCCCCGCCCGGCCCCGACGCCAGCCUUAGGGCUCUACCACCAGGGAGCUGUCGGCGUCCCGGGCGUCCCGCGCCGGCCCGCGCGCCUCGGGGGCGGCAGAGGCGGUCCCGCUUACCUGAGAACGUCUCGCCCGCCGCAGUUAGCAAAAGUCCGGCCAAAGUCGCCAGGGUCUGUGUGACCCGUAUCUUGUGUGACCUGUAUCUUAUGCCGACCUCCUAUCUCAUCCAGUGACCAAGAAUGCCUAACCUCCUGAGAACGCAGCCCAAAGGCAGCCAUGGAUUCCACCCACACUCAAGGAAGGGGAUCACACAGCAGCAUGAACACCAGGAGAGAGGAUCAUGAGGCCACCUUACAGUCUGUCUUCCACAAGGACUCAUCACCUAGGGAUAUAUGCCCUUGAAACAAAUGGAAAUAGACUCCCACAGGCUGAGGACAAAAGCACAGGAUCAACUAAGAUGCUAUCCAGGUGAAAGUGGAUGAGGCAGUCUCAUGCUCAGAUGUCUCUGCUUGGGGAAACCAUGUUGUGAGCAAACCAACAGUGGGGGCCGUGUGGAGAGGAAGCCUCCUGCCAACGCCUUGCAAGUGAGCUUGCAAGUGGAUCCUCCAGCCCGAUGUCAAGAAUUCAGAGAGUAUGGCCUCAGCCAACAGCCUGAGAAACCCUGGCCCAGACCAUCCAGCCGGGUCAUCGCAGAUUCCCAACCCUCAGACAGCAUAUAAGAAAAUAAAUAUUUGCUCCUUUAAGCAGCUAAUUUUGCAGUAAUUUGUUAUACAGCAAUAGAUAACCAACACAGACCUCAGCCAGUCUAGUAUUGUCUACUGGGGCACUAUCUUUCUUCCUUGGUCUGAUAUCCCUAGUCUGUUUCUAAUUUUUUUGGUUUUUUUUUUUUUUUUGGUUUUUUGAGGCUCACUGCAGCCUUGAACUCCUGGGCGGACUCAAGCAAUCCUCCUGCCUUAGCCUCCCACACAGCUUGAACGACAGAUGCAUGCCACAAUAGCUGGCAAAUUUUAAGAAUUUUGCUAUUGAGAUGGGGGUCUCAACAUCUUGACCAGGCUGGUCUCAAACUGCUGGUCUGAAGCCAUCCUCCUGCCUUGGCCUCCCAAAGCUCUGGGAUUACAGGCACAAGCCACCAUGCCCAGUUUGUUUCUGGUCUUUUUUGAGGUGUGAUUUUCUUUCUCUUUUAAGACCCUGCCUCACCUGUGGGACCUGGCUGAUUUUCUUUUUUUCUUUUUUUUUUUUUUUUGAGACGGAGUUUGGCUCUGUCGCCUAAGCUGGAGUGCAGUGGCGUGAUCUCCUCUCACUGCACCCUCCACCUCCCAGGUUCAAGCAAUUAUCCUGCCUCGGCCUCCCGAGUAGCUGGGACUACAGGCCCACGCUGCCACGCCCGGCUAAUUUUUUGUAUUUUAGUAGAGAUGGGGGUUCACCGUGUUGCUCAGGCUGGUCGCGAACUCCUGAGCUCAGGCAAUCCGCCCACCUCGGCCUUCCAAAGUGCUGGGAUUACAGGCGUGAGCCACUGCGCCUGGCCGGUUGAUUAUUUUUUCUUAACUUUGACCUUUUGCUUUUCUCCUCCGCUAGGAUCCAGCCUCUCCCCUUGGUUGUUGCAGUCCCUGACUGAGGCUUUACAGCCUAGCGCAGACUCCUCGGUUCUCUCCAGCCCCAGAAUAGGAAUUCAGUUCUAGGCUGUGGAUUUCAAAUGUCAGAUAGCCAUUGGUGUCGACGUCUCUUGAUUAAUAUUUUAAAUACGAAAACAAGGCAAAAAAUUUCCCAGGGGAAAAUACUGCGUUUUUGAAUGUGUGUUUUUGAAUAUUCUUACUAUUAAUAAUAUCAUUGUCAUAUUUUAACCUUUCACUUGAGGAACAUAAGGAUUAUAAGAACAUGUAGAAGCAUGGAGGAGAUUUAGGAAAUCUGACUUAUACCUGAUAAAAAUGAGGCCCCUGAGGUUAUGUGAAGUUCCCAAGGUCACUCAGCGCUACGAAAGAGCAUUUCAGUGGAACAAGUAUGUCAAGGAUAAUGGAAGCUGAGAAAGGAUCUUUUGGGGAGGUGGGUGGGGCUUCCCUGAGGACGGCUAUCAUGCCUUUCUGUAUGAGUGAGUCCUAGUCCAGUUACCACAGGCUGGACACCGAAUGCAAUGAAGCAGCGAUAUGACUCGAGAUGCUGUUUCUUAUGUUUUUAUGUUACUUUUAGGUAUGACACAAAGUCUGGAUCAAAUAGCAGCUACUUGGCUGGGCACAGUAGCUCACGCCUGUAAUCCCAGUAAUUUGGGAGGCCGAGGCGGGUGGAUCACCUGAGGUCAGGAGUUCGAGACCAGCCUGGCCAACAUGGCAAAACUCCUUCUCUACUAAAAAUACAGAAAUCAGCCGGCCGUGGUGGCAGGCCUCUGUAAUCCCACCUACUGGGGAGGCUGAGGCAGGAGGAUCGCUUGAACCAGGGAGGCAGAGACUGCUGUGAGCUGAGAUCGCGCCACUGCACUACAGCCUGGGUUACAGAGCGAGACUCUGCAUCCAAAA